AGGUGAUGAGGCUUUUCAACCCAUUUACAAAGGACCUCAAUGCCAUUGGGUGUUUGAGUGCAAUCUCAUUAUUCAUUUAGCCUAUAUAAGAGUUGUAUUUACACCGGCUCAUUGUUCAUAGCCGUUUGGUAAUUAUUCCACUGGUAAUUCUGAUGUGAAUCUCUCAUAUUCAUAACAUGUUAAUAGCACAUGGCAUGGCCGUGGACAUCUAUUGUAGUUUUUUUUUAUUUCAGUUUUACAGAGGUGCAGCCGCUGAGUCCUGACCACGACGCGGACGAAGUUGUAACGACAGUCUAAAAAGAUUUACGAAGAAGGAUUUGACUUUGAAAAAUCACUUCAAGCUCUGGAAAAUUUAUCUUCCAUUGAGAGGUUUUCAAAAUGUUGGAUGACAACAGUUGAAUCAUUUAUUCUCAAAUGGUAGUUUAUUGACUUACUUACUAAUUAGUAUGGUACAUUGACGACAUUAGUUAGUUAGAUUCAGUGAAUUUUAUAUCAACAACGGAGUGUGCAUGAUUCCUUUGUUCA